rnacentral:rRNA from 1 species
GACAGAGGGGGCAAGCGUUGCUCGGAAUUACUGGGCGUAAAGCGUGCGCAGGCGGUUUGCUAAGACAGAUGUGAAAUCCCCGGGCUCAACCUGGGAACUGCAUUUGUGACUGCAUGGCUGGAGUGCGGCAAAGGGGGAUGGAAUUCCGCGUGUAGCAGUGAAAUGCGUAGAUAUGCGGAGGAACACCGAUGGCGAAGGCAAUCCCCUGGGCCUGCACUGACGCUCAUGCACGAAAGCGUGGGGAGCAAACAGG